UACGUAGGGCGCGAGCGUUACUCGGAAUCACUGGGCAUAAAGGGCGUGUAGGCGGAUGCGUAAGUCCGGUGUGAAAUCCCCCGGCUCAACCGGGGAAAGCCAUCGGAUACUGCGUGUCUUGAGUGUGGGAGGGGAGAGUGGAACUCUUGGUGGAGCGGUGAAAUGCGUAGAUAUCAAGAGGAACGCCGGUGGCGAAAGCGACUCUCUGGCCCACUACUGACGCUGAGGCGCGAAAGCCAGGGGAG
rnacentral:rRNA from 1 species